rnacentral:misc_RNA from 1 species
AAGUCGUAACAAGGUUUCCGUAGGUGAACCUGCGGAAGGAUCAUUAACGAACAAUAAAAAAAAAAAGUUGAGGAUGGUUGCUGGCUGAACAAGCAUGUGCACUCCUUGGCUUUGUAGGUUGAACCUACAUUUUUUUCACACUCCAUCGUAUGUAUUCCGAACGUUGAUGUAUUAUUAAAACAAAAAGCACAACUUUCAACAAUGGAUCUCUUGGCUCUC